UAGGGAAUAUUGCAAGAUGGGCGAAAGCCCGAUGCAGCAACGCCGCGUGGGCGAUGAAGGCCUUCGGGUCGUAAAGCCCUUUUUGAGGGGAUGAGGAAGGACAGUACCCUCAGAAUAAGCCUCGGCUAACUACGUGCCAGCAGCCGCGGUAAAACGUAGGAGGCGAGCGUUAUCCGGAUUUACUGGGCGUAAAGCGCGUGCAGGCGGAUUGGAGAGUUGGAUGUGAAAGCUCCCGGCUUAACUGGGAGAGGUCGUUCAAUACUUCCAGUCUUGAGUGCAGUAGAGGGUAGUGGAAUUCCGGGUGUAGUGGUGAAAUGCGUAGAUAUCCGGAGGAACACCAGUGGCGAAAGCGGCUUCCUGGACUGUAACUGACGCUCAGACGCGAAAGCUAGGGUAGCAAACG
rnacentral:rRNA from 1 species